GGCGGGGCCGCCGCGGGCCCCCCCCCCGCCCCCACCCGCCCCAGCCCCCCUCUCGCUCCGCCCGGCUUCGCGGGGAGCGGCGCCCCGUCGCCCCAGGAUGUUCAAGAAAUUUGAUGAAAAGGAGAACGUAUCAAACUGUAUCCAGUUGAAAACGUCGGUUAUUAAAGGCAUUAAAAACCAACUGAUAGAUCAGUUCCCGGGUAUUGAACCAUGGCUAAAUCAAAUUAUGCCAAAGAAAGAUCCUGUUAAGAUAGUACGAUGUCAUGAACAUAUAGAAAUUCUCACAGUAAAUGGUGAACUGCUGUUCUUCAGACAAAGGGAGGG